rnacentral:rRNA from 1 species
ACCGAAGCUGCGGCAGCGAACGUAUCACCCAAGACAACUUUACGGAGUUGACGAUUGACGGAGCGAAGCGACGUCAAAGCGUUCAUUAAAGUCGAGUUGGCUUAGGGAUACGUUGUUGGGUAGGGGAGCGUUCUGUAAGCCUGUGAAGGUGGCCUGUGAGGGUUGCUGGAGGUAUCAGAAGUGCGAAUGCUGACAUAAGUAACGAUAAAGCGGGUGAAAAGCCCGCUCGCCGGAAGACCAAGGGUUCCUGUCCAACGUUAAUCGGGGCAGGGUGAGUCGACCCCUAAGGCGAGGCCGAAAGGCGUAGUCGAUGGGAAACGGGUUAAUAUUCCCGUACUUGGUGUUACUGCGAAGGGGGGACGGAGAAGGCUAUGUUGGCCGGGCGACGGUUGUCCCGGUUUAAGCGUGUAGGCUGGUUUUCCAGGCAAAUCCGGAAAAUCAAGGCUGAGGCGUGACGACGAGG